rnacentral:rRNA from 1 species
GGCCAGCAGCCGCGGUAAGACAGAGGGUGCAAACGUUGUUCGGAAUUACUGGGCGUAAAGCGCGUGUAGGCGGCUGCGCAAGUCGGAUGUGAAAUCCCAUGGCUCAACCAUGGAAGUGCACCCGAAACUGCGUAGCUAGAGUCUCGGAGAGGAAGGCGGAAUGCUUGGUGUAGAGGUGAAAUUCGUAGAUAUCAAGCGGAACACCGGUGGCGAAGGCGGCCUUCUGGACGAUGACUGACGCUGAGACGCGAAAGCGUGGGGAGCAAACAGGAUUAGAUACCCUGGUAGUCCACGCCGUAAACGAUGAGUGCUAGGUGUCACGGGCUUUGACCCCUGUGGUGCCGUAGCUAACGCAGUAAGCACUCCGCCUGGGGAGUACGGCCGCAAGGCUAAAACUCAAAGAAAUUGACGG